GGAGGAUUACCCAAGUCCGGCUGAAGGGAACGGUCUUGAAAACCGUCAGACGGGUAAAACCGUGCGUGGGUUCGAAUCCCACAUCCUCCU
rfam:Lactococcus garvieae Lg2 DNA, complete genome.